AUUUGAUGUGGGGCCGGGUUGAUUCUGAGGCCAUUGCCCAAAAUCAGAUCCUCCCAGCGGCCGUGUUUAGUUGCUGCCAGCUUUUCCAUCAAUUUCUAUUUUUGUUUAUUUCUUUUCUCCGACAUCCGCAGCUCUUCAUUUAAAAUUAUGCACAAGGCUAGAAUCAAAAUCUGGACGAUUUAUGUAAAAUAUGUGCUUGACCUGCUGACCAUUUCCAGCACUUUUCCAUGCCUCCACCCCUGUCCCACCACAAAAGGUUUUUAAAUGUUGAAAAAUUCAAAACUGAAGGAUGGAUGCAUUUGGUAGGAAAAGGUUUAUGAAAUGGAUAAGGAACGCAGAGAACCAGAUCCAAAAUGACUCCACCAUUGCUGAAGCAGUCCCCUGCCGCCAAAAGGCCAUUAGGCCAGACCCACCAUUCUGCCACAUAGCAAGACAUCUGAUCUUGACUGCUAAGAAUGAAAUCUAGCAAUGGGAUGUCAGAUUGGGAUAUAACUCAGAUGCUAGAAUUCAGUCACGAAAUCUUUUCGCCUCUCUUACCUCCUUUAAAGGUGUGGUUUGAUUGAAUGCAGAACAGGCCCAAGGGGCUGAAUGGCCUCUUCCUAAAACACCAUUAAAGCCUAUGCACAUUUACUAAGC